rnacentral:rRNA from 1 species
AACGAACGCUGGCGGCAGGCCUAACACAUGCAAGUCGAGCGCGCCCUUCGGGGUGAGCGGCGGACGGGUGAGUAACGCGUGGGAACGUGCCCUUCUCUGCGGAAUAGCCUCGGGAAACUGAGAGUAAUACCGCAUACGCCCUUUGGGGGAAAGAUUUAUCGGAGAAGGAUCGGCCCGCGUUGGAUUAGGUAGUUGGUGGGGUAAUGGCCCACCAAGCCGACGAUCCAUAGCUGGUUUGAGAGGAUGAUCAGCCACACUGGGACUGAGACACGGCCCAGACUCCUACGGGAGGCAGCAGUGGGGAAUCUUAGACAAUGGGGGCAACCCUGAUCUAGCCAUGCCGCGUGAGUGAUGAAGGCCUUAGGGUUGUAAAGCUCUUUCAGCUGGGAAGAUAAUGACGGUACCAGCAGAAGAAGCCCCGGCUAACUCCGU